rnacentral:rRNA from 1 species
AGCAGCCGCGGUAAUUCCAGCUCCAAUAGCGUAUAUUAAAGUUGUUGCAGUUAAAAAGCUCGUAGUUGAAUUUCGGGGUUAGUACGCUGGUCGUGCCUUCGGUAUGUACUGGUGUUACUGAUUCCUACCUUCUGAAGAACCGUCAUGUCAUUAAUUUGGUGUGGCGGGGAAUCAGGACUGUUACUUUGAAAAAAUUAGAGUGUUUAAAGCAGGCUCGCGCUUGAAUACAUUAGCAUGGAAUAAUGAAAUAGGACGUUUGAUCCUAUUUUGUUGGUUUCUAGGAUUGACGUAAUGAUUAAUAGGGAUAGUUGGGGGCAUUAGUAUUCAAUUGUCAGAGGUGAAAUUCUUGGAUUUAUUGAAGACUAACUACUGCGAAAGCAUUUGCCAAGGAUGUUUUCAUUAAUCAAGAACGAAAGUUAGGGGAUCGAAGACGAUCAGAUACCGUCGUAGUCUUAACCAUAAACUAUGCCGACUAGGGAUCGGAUGAUGUAAUUUUUUAAUGACUCAUUCGGCGCCUUAC